AGAUUGAACGCUGGCGGCGUGCUUAACACAUGCAAGUCGAUCGGUAACGCGGGGGCAACCCUGGCGACGAGAGGCGGACGGGUGAGUAACGCUUGGGAAUCUGCCCAUCAGCGGGGGACAACCCGGGGGAAACCCGGGCUAAUACCGCAUACGCUCCACAGAGGAAAGCAGGGGACCGCAAGGCCUUGCACUGAUGGAUGAGCCCAAGUCGGAUUAGCUAGUUGGCGGGUAACGGCCCACCAAGGCGACGAUCCGUAGCUGGUCUGAGAGGACGAUCAGCCACACCGGAACUGAGACACGGUCCGGACUCCUACGGGAGGCAGCAGUGGGAAUAUUGGACAAUGGGGGCAACCCUGAUCAGCGACGCCGCGUGGGUGAAGAAGGCCUGGCGGUUGUAAACGCCCGUUUCGGAACGGGUACGAAAGCUCUCGACCUAACACGUCGGAGGUUCGACUUAACCUAACGAAAAGAA
rnacentral:rRNA from 1 species